GAUUUAACGGCCGCGGUACUCUGACCGUGCGAAGGUAGCACAAUCACUUGUUCUUUAAAUGAGGACUAGAAUCAAUGGCAUCACGAGGGUCCCACUGUCUCCUUUUUCUAAUCAGUGAAAUUGAUCUCCCCGUGAAGAAGCGGGGAUAACUUUAUAAGACGAGAAGACCCCAUGGAGCUUCAAACUCAACGGAUAACUCUACAACCUAUGAGAUAUUUUAAGAGGUCUAUCCAUUAGUUUUGGGUUGGGGUGACCACGGAGAACAACCUAACCUCCGUAAUGAAAAGAAUAAAACCAUAAUCUAAGAGCCACACCUCUAAGAAUUAACAAAUUAACAUACAAUGAUCCAAUUUUUAUUGAUCAAUGAACCAAGUUACCCUGGGGAUAACAGCGCUAUCCACUCCUAGAGUCCCUAUCGCCGAGUGGGUUUACGACCUCGAUGUUGGAUCAGGGUGUCCGAGUGGUGCAGCC
rnacentral:rRNA from 1 species